CGUUAGCGGCGGACGGGUGAGUAACACGUGGAUAACCUACCUAUAAGACUGGGAUAACUUCGGGAAACCGGAGCUAAUACCGGAUAAUAUAUUGAACCGCAUGGUUCAAUAGUGAAAGACGGUUUUGCUGUCACUUAUAGAUGGAUCCGCGCCGCAUUAGCUAGUUGGUAAGGUAACGGCUUACCAAGGCAACGAUGCGUAGCCGACCUGAGAGGGUGACCGGCCACAUUGGGACUGAGAUACGGCCCAG
rnacentral:rRNA from 1 species